UUGUUCUCGUGAGAGUGUGCAUGCUUUCAUUCUGAUCACUUUGUUAUACCAAAAAGAAAAAACACCCUCUGUUUCCUAUAUUCCAAAGGAAAGCAGUUGCACAUUUGAUCAGGAGUCUAAUUGUAUCUUGGCAAAGAAAAGGAGAAUUUGAGGACCUGGAGUUUUCCAUUUAGGGUAGUAUCAACAAGCUGGUCCACUGAGAGAGGAAAGCAAGCAUGUUGAAAUUGCUUUCGUUUUCAAAGCAUUUUCCUGUCCAGGAAGCAGGAGCAGUCAUGGCUGUAUAUCAUUCUGAGAGUGAGAACAAUGAAUCUGAAGAAGGCUCUGCAUAAUCUUCCUUUUCCACAGAAUCUGAAGAAGAAAAUGAAGAAAGUAGAGACGAAGAAAGAGCUGCAUCAGCCCAGUCAAUGCCUGUUUCUCCAAAAAGUACUGUGUAUGGCAGUAAGCAAGACAGACAAAGCUCCUACCCUCAUGGACUUUGCAAUGUAGUGAAGAUAAUGUUACUUGAAGGCAUGAAGCAAAUGGCUCUAUCUUCAUUUCCAAAAUUAUCCACUAAUUCAAAGAGUAUUCUUGGAGUUAUUAUCUAGAGGGAAAUUUUAGAAAGGUAGGGAUCCUCUUUUAUUUUCAAUGUUAUGCCCCAGAAAGCUUUGCAAAACCACUUGUGAAUUUUUGUAGGGAAUCUUAAAGCUCUUAAGUCAUUUUGAUGAUCCUUCCUGUACUCCAAGUUUAUUCAAAGAGGGAGUGUUACGAAAUGGUACAUAGAACCAGUGUGGGUUUUCACAAUAACUUGAUUCUGAUAGCUUGGCUCACCCAGGGAAUUCUUUUUAGAGUAACAAUUCAUUUGCGUAUGUGCUAUAUCUAAGGAAAAGCUAAAAACAUCUUCUGUUUAUAUGACCUAGCUACAGCCUUAAUACAAAACAUGAAUUUUCUCACUCCUGAGUCACAUUUUCCUUUUAUAAAAUCUCUUUCUUUACUACUUUAAGUUCAACAUUCAUUUGAGAGACCAAAGGUACUGACCCAGUUGCCCACCAUUGAAAGAGUGUCCAUGACAUGAUAUUUCUAUCUCUUUCCUGGGAAUUAAAACUCAUAAGAAGCAACUCAGGUAAAUAUAUUCUAGAAGUGGAUUUGAGGGCGCCCUGCUCAGUCUAUUCAGAAAGUCUGGAUAGAAUGGAGAACAAUGAUGGCCUGUGAGCUGCCCACUAGUUAUAGAGGCUCAUGUCAUUUCCCUUUUCUUAGCAACCCCAAUUAAACCCUGGUUUUAUACGACAUCAGCCAUAGUAUUAUGGUUGUAUAAGUAAUGGCAGUCCAAUAGAGUUCAGCUAGAAAACCCUUCAUUUAUAAUUUCUCUCAAAGAACUACUCAGUGAGUAGGGAAUAUUAGAUUCUGAUGCAUGCAGAAAAUAAAGCCAUUGAAAAUGUGAUGCACAGCCAGUGUUUGUCUCUCUUUACCAAAAAGUCAGUCUUUUGGAAUCACAUUCUCCUCUGCUUGUGAUGAGGCUUUCCUAUACCAUAUGUCUGACUAGCUGUUAAAUCUAUGCUGAGGCAAUGAGAAUCUAGUAGAGAUCUUCCCAUUUGGGGAUGACAGGUCCAUAGCCUUUUUGUGAAGGUGUUUCUCACAGUAGAGAUUAGUUAUAUUUACAUCUCACCUCUAAUAGCCAGAUUACUCAUGUUCUUUUCUCUCUA